rnacentral:piRNA from 1 species
UGGGUUUUUUCUACCCCUGCUGAUGGGCCUC